rnacentral:lncRNA from 1 species
UGGCCCUCCCACCCUGGGCGCUGAGAGUCCAAACUGCGCUGUCAGGUGGCCCUCACUGCCUGCAACUGAAGUAGUCUUGAGACCCUUACACGUUCACUAAGUGUGUUCAACUGCAGGUCAUUUCCUUGUAAUGGGGCUAUCAACUUGGAGAUGGCUAUAAAUCUCCGCCAGACGGCCGCGGGCAGUACGAGCCCCAACCCCUGGGUGGCGCAGGCGCAGUCCCACUCCCGCCUCGGAGGCAGCGCUUCUGGAGGGGGCGGGGACUCCCGGUCCCUGAGUCCUUCCAGGUCGCCCCGCGCCCUGAGGGGAGGCCAGGCGUGCGCCAGCCUCGAGGAACCGAACCCUCAGACGCCGAGGCGUGAGCCUCAGGUACCUGAUAGGCGCCGCCGGUCAAGGCCAGCUCCGCCAGGACCGCUCGGCCAUUAGCAACGCAGCUGUAGGUGAUCGUCAUAACCAGCAGGCCAGUGAGAGAAGCGGACCGCCUUCUAACCGCCCGCUACAGUUGGACCGCCGCUCCGCGCAGGCGCGAGGGACGGUUGAUUGGCAGGGGAGGAGGCGGGGCCAUCUGUGGGUCCCGCAGAGCCUGUGUAUUCAACCUGUGUGCCAUGGGCCAUGUGUGGCUGAAGCAGCUGAAGACAGCUAGAAAUACAGCCCAUCACAAAGUGGCCAACUUACCUGAAGCAUGAGACUUUUUGUCCUUUCUUUUGUAAUUCGAUUGCAUGGUUCUUGAGCAUGAGUUCUGAAGAUGACAAGGCCCUGUUGCAGUGUCA